UAUGCAGUCGAGCGAAUGGAUUAAGAGCUUGCUCUUAUGAAGUUAGCGGCGGAGGGGUGAGUAACACGUGGGUAACCUGCCCAUAAGACUGGGAUAACUACCGGGAAAGGGGGCUAAUAGAGGAUAACAUUUUGAACUGCAUGGUUCGAAAUUGAAAGGCGGCUUCGGCUGUCACUUAUGGAUGGACCCGCGUCGCAUUAGCUAGUUGGUGAGGUAACGGCUCACCAAGGCAACGAUGCGUAGCCCACCUGAGAGGGUGAUCGGCCACACUGGGACUGAGACACGGCCCAGACUCCUACGGGAGGCAGCAGUAGGGAAUCUUCCGCAAUGGACGAAAGUCUGACGGAGCAACGCCGCGUGAGUGAUGAAGGCUUUCGGGUCGUAAAACUCUGUUGUUAGGGAAGAACAAGUGCUAGUUGAAUAAGCUGGCACCUUGACGGUACCUAACCAGAAAGCCACGGCUAACUACGUGCCAACAUCCGCGGUAAUACGUAAGUGGCAAGGCGUUAUCCGGAAUUAUUGGGCGUAAAGCGCGCGCAGGUGGUUUCUUAAAUCUGAUGUGAAAGCCCACGGCUCAACCGUGGAGGGUCAUUGGAAACUGGGGAGACUUGAGUGCAGAAGAGGAAAGUGGAAUUCUAUGUGUAGCGGUGAGAUGCGUAGAGAUAUGGAGGAACACCUGUGGCGAAGGCGACUUUCUG
rnacentral:rRNA from 1 species